UUUGAUCAUCAAUUAACUUUCUUUGUUAAAAUUGAAACUUGCGAAAUAGCUAGUCAGGAACAUGUACAACAUCGUGAAGUCUUAUUGAUAAUCUCUUAUAAACUUGAAGCUAGAGAAGCACAGUCAAUCCCCACAUUCCUCUCAUGCUACAGCUUGUCGAAGACGAAAUACAUUACAAGUUAAUAGUAUCCUUCAAUAUGUCUUAUAGAAAAAUGUUCGGAUACUUGCUGGCUCAGAGUAGAUAACGAAGCAACCAGCAUGCUGGUAAAUCUCUGAUACUCCCAUGUGUUUCAGUUCCUCUAUUAGUGGGGAAAGCACGGUAUACAAAAUGCCACAAUUGAAAUACGCACAAAUCUAUCAACGUAACUCCCAUCAGGCCAGACUGAAGAAUAUUUCUGUUGUUGCACACAGUUUAUCACUGGGGUAUUGGAGCUCUCAGUACUUGAUUUACUCGUCAUAACACACAACUAACAGAAUAAAAGACCAGAUAUAUAUUUCCAGCGGCUACAUCAUUCGUAGCACACGCAGAUAAUUGAGACUCUGAAAACUCCAAUUCUCGGAUCUAUGAAAACCGACUGCGGUAAAUUCCGUUUGUUUGAAUUUAGUUUUUCCUUCCCUCGGCCAAGAUGAUGUGAUACCCAUGCCUAUUA
rnacentral:lncRNA from 1 species